UGGGGAAUAUUGGACAAUGGGCGCAAGCCUGAUCCAGCCAUACCGCGUGUGUGAAGAAGGCUCUAGGGUCGUAAAGCACUUUAAGUAGGGAGGAAGGCCUGUAAGUUAAUACCUUGCAGGAUUGACGUUACCUACAGAAUAAGCACCGGCUAACUCCGUGCCAGCAGCCGCGGUAAUACGGAGGGUGCAAGCGUUAAUCGGAAUUACUGGGCGUAAAGCGCGCGUAGGCGGUUUUGUAAGCUGGGUGUGAAAGCCCCGGGCUCAACCUGGGAACUGCAUCCAGAACUGCAAGGCUAGAGUACGAGAGAGGGUGGUAGAAUUUCCUGUGUAGCGGUGAAAUGCGUAGAUAUAGGAAGGAAUACCAGUGGCGAAGGCGGCCACCUGGCUUGAUACUGACGCUGAGGUGCGAAAGCGUGGGGAGCGAACAGGAUUAGAUACCCCUGUAGUCC
rnacentral:rRNA from 1 species